UCAAACUUGGUCAUUUAGAGGAAGUAAAAGUCGUAACAAGGUUUCCGUAGGUGAACCUGCGGAAGGAUCAUUAUUGAAUAAAACUUGGUUUUGAGCUGUUGCUGGCCUGUCAUAAGGCAUGUGCACGCUCAUUCCAUUUUUUUAAACCCUCCAGUGCAUCUUGUGUAGGCCUUGAAAUGAAUAAAUAUUGUCGUAGAACGAACAGUUCUUCGGUGACCCAAGACUGCUGUUGCUCAAUGCAUACAGCUGUUUUGUCUGUUCUUUCAAGGUUCUAUGUUUCUUAUCAUAAACACUGUAUAUGAAUGUUAAAUUUUAUUGGCCUUUUUGUGCCUUUAAACAAUAAAAUACAACUUUCAACAACGGAUCUCUUGGCUCUCGCAUCGAUGAAGAACGCAGC
rnacentral:misc_RNA from 1 species